rnacentral:rRNA from 1 species
GUAGUCUCGCACAGAUGCAUAUCAAUAAGCGGAGGAAAAGAAACUAACAAGGAUUCCCCUAGUAACGGCGAGUGAAGCGGGAAGAGCUCAAAUUUGAAAUCUUAAAGGGUUUCCCUUUACGAAUUGUAGUUUAAAGAAGUGUUUUCUGUUGAGGUUUUGGUAAAAGUUCUUUGGAAUAGGACAUCAUAGAGGGUGAGAAUCCCGUAUUUGACCUUUACUUUCAACUUUGUGAUACACUUUCAAAGAGUCGGAUUGUUUGGGAAUGCAGUCCAAAAUGGGUGGUAAAUUUCAUCUAAAGCUAAAUAUUGGCGAGAGACCGAUAGCGAACAAGUACCGUGAGGGAAAGAUGAAAAGAACUUUGAAAAGAGAGUUAAACAGUACGUGAAAUUGUCAAAAGGGGAAGCGUUUGACACCAGUGUUGUUUUUCUGAAAAUCAAUUAAAGAACUGUUUAUGCUAAGUUGUUUAGACUUUAUCAGCUAUCUGUUUAGUUUUGAGCUUUUCUUUAAUGCACUUUUCAGUUAACAAGUCAACAUCAAUUUCUUUUGCUGUAAAAAAGCUUGAGGAAGGUGGCUUGAGAUUCGUCUUAAGUGUUUAUAGCCUCUUGCCUAUGCAGUCGGAGAGAUUGAGGUCUGCAGCGUAGAUCCUUCGGGGCUAAAUGCAUUUGUGCUAAGUUAUAGCAUUUUAUAGACAACUUGUUGACUAUGAUUUGUCUUGUAGCUUACUCGCUUAUGUUAUUUUACCUACGCUUAGGAUGUUGAUCUGUAGUGCGUGCGC